rnacentral:rRNA from 1 species
UACGUAGGGCGCAAGCGUUGUCUGGAAUUAUUGGGCGUAAAGAGCUCGUAGGUGGCUUGUCGCGUCUGCCGUGAAAGCCCAUGGCUUAACUGUGGGUCUGCGGUGGAUACGGGCAGGCUGGAGGCUGGUAGGGGCAAGCGGAAUUCCUGGUGUAGCGGUGAAAUGCGCAGAUAUCAGGAGGAACACCGGUGGCGAAGGCGGCUUGCUGGGCCAGUUCUGACGCUGAGGAGCGAAAGCGUGGGGAGCGAACAGG